rnacentral:rRNA from 1 species
UACGAAGGGGGCUAGCGUUGCUCGGAAUCACUGGGCGUAAAGCGCACGUAGGCGGACUCUUAAGUCAGGGGUGAAAUCCUGGAGCUCAACUCCAGAACUACCUUUGAUACUGGGAGCCUUGAGUUCGGGAGAGGUGAGUGGAACUGCGAGUGUAGAGGUGAAAUUCGUAGAUAUUCGCAAGAACACCAGUGGCGAAGGCGGCUCACUGGCCCGAUACUGACGCUGAGGUGCGAAAGCGUGGGGAGCAAACAGG